AGGGGUUUAUAUGUGCUGUUCUAAAUACUGGGGUCUGUUCUUACGAGCAGAAAAGAAUGAGAGAAUGGAUAUUGGGAAGCAAGAGCAGCCUCUGCUCCAGCUAGAGAGGGGCAGAAAGACCCUGGUGUAUCCUCAGACUGCUGUACCCUAUGCCUGCUCACAGGACAGACAAGAGCCUUUUAAGGGUGAAGACAGGACUAGACCCCAGCCUCCUGGUCACAUGACUCAGAGAUCUCCCAUAUCCUUUUACCUUCUGUUGCAUGGAGUGGAAUGGGUCGGAGUUUGAGAUGUGGAUCUUUGUGUUAGUCUGAGACUUUUUCUGUGUGGGAGAGAUUGUAUCCUACACACAGUCUAGAAGACAUUGGGGAGGCCCUGAAGCAAUUACUAUUGCUAGAAAUAAAGUGUAGAGACAGAAGUGGGGAUGGGAUGGUACUAGAGAGUUAGGCACAAGUCGAGUGAUGAGAGGUUGAGUCUGGUCUGCACAGGAUCCUAAUAGAUCUUAACAGGCUGCAGCAAUGGUCUAAGCAUAAUGAGGCAAAACUGAAACUGAACAGGAACAGAACAUGUUACACCCGAGUCCAAAAGAAAACUAACAAGAUGCACUGAUGUGACUUAGUAUCUUCAGGAUAAAAAUGACAGAAGCACUUCAGUAAUAUCAGCCAUAAUGUGUAAGGGAGUUAUUUUGAUCUCAGCCUGCAGGAGCAGAGAAUUUCAACGAGGUGAGAGGCAUGCUUUGCCAUGCACAGGCUAGACCACACUUGUCAUGCUGCAUGUAGUUCUGAAAAGGACAGACCAAAGUUUUAAAAGGAGAGAAGCCAGGAUGGGAUUGAAGAAUCCUCAGGUUGUAUAUUUAACAUUUUUAUCAGUCACUUAGGUCACGCCUGCUUACCAAAUUUGUGGAUUACUCUAAUCUGACAGAGGUGGUAGAUACAGUGACAGGCAGAAUCAGUCAAAUAGAACAAUGAGCCAAUGCCAGGCUAUGAAAUUGAAAACAGAUCAAGGUAUCUCACCCCCAAAAAUGAUAAGUAUGUGAAGUAAUGCAUAUGUUAAUUAGCACUAUUUAGCCAUUUCAGAAAGCCUGCUUAUUUCAAACAACAUGCUGUACACAAUAAAUAUAUAUAAGAUCUGUGUCAACUAAAGAAUUAAAAUUAAAAUUAAAAGUCAAAGAAAAAAAAAGAAAAAAGUUUGGAAGAGCAAUCCAUUGUUCAAGAAAGGGAUGAGAGAGACCUGGUACAAUGGCUGUUCUAACAAAUCAGCACUUUAGUGGGCAGCAGGGCUCAUCAAAGUACCAGUGUGUCUGUGUGUGUCCCAGGCUGGUGGAUGGUGGGCUUCCAAGGAGCCUCCAGGCAGCACUGAUAUUCAUGACUUCACCCAAGCCAGGAUUUUGACCUUGGCUUUGUGGGUUUAGAUUUUCAAAGUGUUUGAGUUUCCUGGACUUGGGGAGGCUGACUCUCACUAACAAUGCUUUUAGGAGACUGCAGAUGCCGAAAGUAUUGAUUUUCAGCAUGAAUUCUACUUGUUAGGUACCUUAAACCUGAUCAGCAUACAUAUGGUUCUUCUUCCAUGUAAGAAAACCACAUGAGGAACCAAAUAAUACCUCUAAGGAGUUUUGAGGAGGAUGGAACUGAAAAGAGGGAUGUGAGUAGUGUGACUCGAAUGCUGUUAGAAGAGUCUGAUGUGUCCUUCUUCCUCAGGUGAAAGUUCUCAGACUGAAAACAUCUAGAUAACCUCUAGCUAUGCUAAGCCACAGGCACUUUUAUAGGCCUAGAACCUAUUUCGUGUCUUUAAGGUGACUUGACAGAGUGUGGUUUUGUCCUCUUAUUUUUUGACAUAUUCUGCAACUCAGGAAACAGUCUUGUUUCCCUUUCUCUAUAGCACUCGAGGUGCAUCAGUCUGCUCCUCCCUUUGCCUCAAGGUCCCACAGUGGCAAGGGGAGAGGAGACCAGUCUGGGGGGUCUGCUUAUUAAGCCUUCAUUGCUGUCUACCCCAAGAAAACUCAGAGUCACUGUCUCCUAGGCACUUCUCAGGUAGAAAGAAAUCUUUCCUUACCCUCCAAAUCUGCUAUCCUUCAGGGAUGGAUUCUCGGGUACCUUCGACCAGCUCCCUGCUCUGUUCCAGCUUCCUGGGCAUAAAGGCAAAUAAUCCCAACGUGUUUGGCUUUGACUUUUUCUCAUGGCCUCCUUUCCCAGUGGGUGGCCAUAUAUAUUCAUUCACAUGUCCAAGGGGAUUCCUCCUUCCAUCCCCCGUUUAUUGAUGUUCUUGUCACAUCUCCCUUAGGAGCUUGUUGUGUCAGUCAAGGUCCCAGCAAGAAACAGAUGGCACACUUACACUUGGAUAAUGUGAAAUGAAUUUAAUAAAGGACUACUUACAAAGCUGGGAGCAGGGCUUAGGGAAACCACGAAGAAUAGUCAAAUGCCAGAGGACUAUGAAAUCUAGGUGCUAUUGUAGGCCUGAAAGAGUGGAGAGAGGGGAAAGAGAGCCAGAAGACUGCGGGGGCUAUGCGGAAGAAACAUAGGAUUCCUGGCUUUCAACAGAACUGGCCCAUGGAAACCCCACGGCAAUAGUAAUAAAUGCCACACCCUCACUCACUUCUCUCCUUCCAAUCUCCUGCUGAUGCACAACACUGGCCAUGUGCAGUUGGUAGUCAGUGGUCAAGGGAGCCCAAGAGUGUGGUUCAGGUUCAGCUUCCCCAGGGAAUAGCAGGGUGGACAAAGAUAGAGAGUGGAUUUGGAUAGGCAAAUAGAAUAAUCCAGUAAAAACACUGAAGGCUAGACUUUGUUGUUAAUACCUGUAUUUUUUGGUUUCCCAUCCCACACAUAGUAGGUUUGCAGCAGUUGACUUGGCCAUGGAUUUCUUUGGUGGCUUCCCCCUUUCCAGUGACCCUGGGAGGCAUACUGCCCCCUGCACUGUGGAAUCUCUCAGCCACUUGGGUCUCCUUUGCCAAGGAGUGUCCUCCCUCUGGAACUCAAUACCAGCUCUUUCUUCUUCUGGAAUCUUCUCUCAGCUCUUUUAAGCUUAUAAAGUUGAUUCACUGACUGCUGGUUUGAAAUGGUGUCUGCUAACAAACAGUUGCUGGUACAGCUUCUCUGUAAUGUGAGGUAAAAUACCUAUAAAAGCUUAGAAGAAGAUGUAAACUCAGAACACAGCCAUAAACUUGGACUGACAAUCCCCUGAAGACUGGAUCUGGGAGGACUUUUUGCCAAUAGUACUGCCAAUGAAACUGAAAAGAAAAGAACAUUCUAUGGGUGUGGGUGUGUUACUGAGGAAAUGCUCUGUAGGCAAGAGGUAAGAAGGACUAUUAUUUUCAUUGUGCAUCUCCUGGAUGGGGAUCCCCUGGAUGAUGGGUCCCCUCAAUUGUGUAUACUUGAAUGGAUUCUCUGGUGAAAAUUGAUGACCACCCAGAACUUUAGUAUGUGCCUUUUUUUUUUUUUUUUUUUUUUGUAAAUACCUUAUCUGCAGAUACAAUGGAUUAAGAUUUAAAAUGAGACCAUACUGGGUAGGCUGGAUCCUGAAUCUAAUGAAAGCAUCUUUAUAAGGGACGGAAAGACACAUACAGUGACUCACAGACAGAAUAUGUUUCAGGCCACAUGAAGACAGACACAGAAACUGGAAUGGUGGGGUCACAAGCCAAAGAAUGCCAGGAGCCAACAAAAGCUCAAAGAGGCAAGGAAGGACUCUGUCGUAGAGACUUCAGAGAGAGCAUGCCCCUGCUGGCACUUUAUUUUGGACUGACCUCCAGAAUCGUGAGAGGAUAUAUUUUUGUUGUAUUAUGGGCAACCCUAGGAAACUAAUACAAUGGAAAACUCAAGUUUAUGCCAAGUGUUGAAAAUGGAAAUGCCUAAGAUAAUGAAAAUGAGUGGGUUGACCAGGGAGGCACAGAGGUGAAGUUGAGAGGCCACAUGGUCUAUGAAGACACAUCCAAUUGUUGUCUUCUAAGAAUGCAGACAUGGACUUGCCAAAUAUUUUUACAGUUCAGAAGAAGCUAGAAAUUUGGAUUUCAUUUGUGUGCUCUUUUUUUUUUUUUUAACAUUGCCCUAAUUUUAUUUCAAAUGUGGUACUAACCGUGUCAAACAUGUUUGAGAAAGUCAUGGGUAGCCAGUAUGGUGCCUCCUGUCUGGGUCUGUAUUAGUUUGUUCUCAUGCUGUUGAUAAUGACAUACCCGCAGCUGGGUAAUUUAUAAAGGAAAAGGGGUUUAAUGGACUCACAGUUUCACAUGGCUGGGGAAGCCUCACAAUCAUGGUGGAAGAUGAAGGAAGAGCAAAGGGACAUCUUACAUGGCACCAGGCAAAAGCGUGUGUACAGGGGAACUCCCUUUAUAAAACCAUCAGAUCUCGUGACACUUAUUCACUGUCACAUGAACAGCAUAGGAAAAACCUGAUCCCAUGAUUCAAUUACCUCCCACCGGGUCCCUCCCAUGACAUGUGGAACUAUGGAGCUACAAUUCAAGAUGAGAUUUGGGUGGGGACACAAUCAAACCAUAUCAGGGUCCCUUUUAGCCAUCCUUGUCCUGUGCAUUUUCCCCAUUUUAUAAGAGGGAGAAUUGUGUUCCUCUCCUCUUCCAUUAUUUAUUUUCCAGCCUCAGAGAAGAUCCUGCUCCAAAGACCACAGGGCAGGGGUUGGAAGGCAGAAGCAGGAGGGUUUUUGUGGCAGUGAUGCAUAGCAUAAUUGCCUGAUGGUUAUUUCCACUCAUUAACUGUCUGUCUUAUCAGAAGUCCAGGAAGAAGUUGCACAGAAUACUAUUUUAGUCUACCAGAACCACGGUUAGUAAAGCCUGCUGGAAUGUGGAGCUGAUCUAGGAGCUGUGGGCAUUCAGCUGGUGAGUUAUGAAAUGGGAAAAGUUCCCUUAUCCCACUAGCAGGGUGUGUGAUGGGGGGAGUGACUCGUUUCUUUGGUGCCUGCAGCUCAAACCUCUAGGGGGAGUAUGCAGAUGGGCAGAUCGUGGGGAUCAUGGACUCCAACCCCACAGCAGUGUCUAGGGUUGGGUGUUUACAGCUCUGGAAGCCCCAGUGUGUUACAGUGUGCUCUUUCAGCUUAGAUAUCUGCAGGCGGCUUGUGUUAAUCAGCUCAAUCAGACCCUCUGCCUUAUCACAAGGACAUAGGGCUUUCUGUAUCCCGGGGUUCUUGCAGUAGUGUACUGGAAAAAUCAGAUCACGUGUUGGCAUGGAGAAUGAGUGCAAGGUUUUAUUGAGUGGUAGAAGUAGCUCUCAGCAGAUGGAUGGGGAGCAUGAGAGGGAUGGAGUGGGAAAGUGGUCUUCCCUUGGGUCAGGCUGCUCUGUGGCUGGGCUAUCCUCCAACUGUCCUCAGCCAAAUUCCACGUCAUCCCACCAUCAAUGGCCUGCCAGUGUCUGUUGGUGUGUUCUUCUGCCUGUGUGUUUCUCUUGACAUCCACACACUUGUGUGUAUGCCUGCUAGGGUCUCGGGGGCUAUAUAGGCACAGAAUAGGGGGCAUGGCAGGCCAGAGAGAUCUUGGAAAAUGCAACAUUUGGAUCUGAAAACAGGAGUGCCUGUCCUCCCCUGGGUUCGUGAGACUCAGACAAUUUAUUUCCUGAUUAUUGAUUGGGGGUGAGUGGGAGAAGGGAAAGUAUCUGAGGACAUAUUCUACAUUACCAAAAUUGAUUACAAAUGAAGAGGCCAAGAAUGAGAAAGGCAGGGCCUGAAGAGCCUGAUGGAUCUGCCUUCACUCAAAUUGGACUCCACUCUCAGGAUUUCAGUCAUGGUGCAGUUGUGUAUCCAAGGGCAAAGCUUGGCCUCGAUGUGAUACCCUCAUUGGUUUUGCUCUUCCUCCAACUUUCAGGGGAAUGUGUUUCCAGAAUCCUUUAUUCCACCUUUGAUGUGAAAAUUGGGUCCAUGAUUACAAAUGGCUGAUCCAUGUGGGGCUUAAUGCCUAGGUGACGGGUUGAUAGGUGCAGCAAACCACCAUGGCACACGUUUACCUGUGUGGAGCCCUCACUGGGGACCCCACCCUUCUCUACCCAGCAUUUUCUGCCCCCCUCCCAUAUCUGUUACACCUUGAAACAGAAGAUUUGACCAGAAGGAAGUAGGGUCAAGGAACAUUCAUCCUUGAGGUCUUCUGGUAAACACUAGACUUUGAUACAUUUUAUUUUAUUUGGGGAUGAGAAAACUACAAAACAUGAAGAAUAUGAGCCUCAACAAGGACAGCAAUCACAGUGGAGAAAUAUUGAGCACUGGUCAUCCAAAAUUAUUGUGAAAGCUCCCAGCAAGAUCAAAUCCUUGACACCCAUCUGCUGAAGGAAAUAGAUUUUUGUUUUAAGGAAAUUAUUUGGAGUCCUGAGAUUCAAGGACAAACCUUGCAUCUCAUCUCUUUUGGAUUUCUGUUGGAAAUAGGACAAAUGUUUCAAAGAAAGAACAAAAUGUCAUGUAAAAAGAACUGGAUAAGAUAAGGAAGAAUUUAUAGGCAGCCAAAAGUGCAACAGCAGAAUUACAUUAGCAUUAACAAGCAGUGGAAAACUUAAUUGAGAUUAUGGAAAAUCAUAUUGUAUUAUAAGGGACAAAUUUUAGAACUCUCCUAGAAAGUAUGGGACAGAGAUGAAAAUGAUGAGAGAGCAUGUGUUUGUUUAAAAAGUCUGAGAUAGUAGCUUUAACUUAAGAAUUAUAAGUCUUUCUACUUGAGAGAGAAAAGACAAAUAAAAAAUACUUCCAAAAAAAUUCCUACUUAUAAAAACCAAUGUAUAAAUGUUAAAAUUGGUUCUUUAAGUUACAAGUAAUGUUAGUAAAACAAGCAGCAAAAAAACCCCAAAAAGAUUACUGCAAUAUGCAAUUGCAUGUAAUUUUUCUUUAUUUUUAAUUAUAAAAAUUAUAAAAUAUUCAAACACCUCAAAUGGAUAUAAUGUAAAUAACAAAAGCUUCUCUUUGCUUCUCCUUUUCUGUUCUCCAGAGGUAAGAGUGUUAGUAUUUUGCUGAAAAGCCUUUCAGAUCUUCACUCUGCAUAUACCAGCUCCUACAAAUAUUCAUUAGUUUUUUGAACAACAAGAUUAUCACAGUAAACUUUCUGCACCUAGCUUUUUUUUUCAUUUAGCAAUAUAUUGUAGAUGUUUCUUCUUAUUAGAACAUGAGGCUCUAGUUAAUAUUUGAAAUUGUUGAAGGGAUUUUUUGUAUAGAUGCACUGUAAUUUAUCCAACUCAGUAAAUGUUUCCUUUUUAUUUCUCAACUAUAAAACUGGUACUGUGAAUACUCUUAUCUUUGCACACUAUUUGUAAAUAGUUUUUGCUAGGCUGUUUACAGAAUACGUUUUUUGUUGUAAAAUUACUCUGGUGAAAAGUUUGACCAAAGUAUAAAGACAAAGGAAUCCUACAAGGAUACAUGCAGGCACGAAAUGAAACAAACAAAACUAAACCCUCAGACUGGUUGUUUACAAAGAAACAGAAAUCAGGAAGGCUUUGGGAUUUCCUUCUGCAGCACUGAAUGCCAAAGUGUCUUUGAAUAGAAUUGCAUCUGCAGAAUUUUUAAGUGGAAAAGCAAUAUUGUGCACCAAGAAUUUUGUUCUCCUCCAAGUAAUGUUUUGUAUGAAAAAGUCAUUCCCUGAUAAACUGAGACUCAGACAAUUUAUUUCCUGAUUACUGAUUGGGGGUAAGUGGGAGAAGGGAAAGUAUCUAAGGACAUAUUCUACAUUACCAAAAUUGAUUACAAAUGAAGAGGCCAAGAAUGGGAAAGGCAGGGCCUGAAGAGCCUGGUGGAUCUGCCUUCACUCAAAUUGGACUCCACUCUCAGGAUUUCAGUCAUAGUGCAGUUGUGUAUCCAAGGGCAAAGCUUGGCCUUGAUGUGAUACCCUCAUUGGUUUUGCUCUUCCUCCAACUUUCAGGGGAAUGUGUUUCCAGAAUCCUUUAUUCCACCUUUGAUGUGAAAAUUGGGUCCAUGAUUACAAAUGGCUGAUGCAUGUGGGGCUUAAUGCCUAGGUGAUGUGUUGAUAGGUGCAGCAAACCACCAUGGCACACGUUUACCUGUGUGACAA